rnacentral:rRNA from 1 species
AUUGAACGCUGGCGGCAGGCCUAACACAUGCAAGUCGAACGAGUGGCGGACGGGUGAGUAAUGUCUGGGAAACUGCCUGAUGGAGGGGGAUAACUACUGGAAACGGUAGCUAAUACCGCAUACCAUCGGAUGUGCCCAGAUGGGAUUAGCUAGUAGGUGGGGUAAAGGCUCACCUAGGCGACGAUCCCUAGCUGGUCUGAGAGGUUGACCAUCCAAAAUGGAACGGAGACACGGUACAGACCCCCACGGGAGGGAGCAGUGGGGAAUAUUGCGCAAUGGGCGCAAGCCUGAGGCAGCCAUGCCGUGUGUAUGAAGAAGGCCUGCGGGUUGGAAAGUACUUUCAGCGGGGAGGCGUUACCCGAAGAAGAAGCACCGGCUAACUACGUGCCAGCAGCCGCGGUAAUAC